rnacentral:rRNA from 1 species
CAGCGCAAGGGUGAGUAAUACAUGGCUAACAUACCCCAAACAUGAGAAUAACUAUUAGAAAUGAUAGCUAAUGCUCAAUAGUUUCUUAAGACCUCCUGGUCUAAAGAAUAAAGGUAGGGAUCCUUCGGGACCUUCCGGUUUGGGAGUGGGUCAUGGGCUAUCAGCUAGUUGGUGAGGUAAAGGCUCACCAAGGCUAAGACGGCUAGGCGAUCUGAGAGGAUGAUCGCCCACAUCGGGACUGAGACACUGCCCGGACUCCUACGGGAGGCUGCAGUCGAGAAUCUUCCGCAAUGGGCGCAAGCCUGACGGAGCGACGCCGCGUGAGGGACGAAGGCUUUAGGGUCGUAAACCUCUUUCGCUUGUUGAGAAAAGUGUAUGUUAAUAGCAUGCACCCUGACAAAGGCAAGUAAAGAAGCACCGGCUAAAUCCGUGCCAGCAGCCGCGGUAAUACGGAUGGUGCAAGCGUUACUCGGAAUCACUGGGCGUAAAGCGUUCGUAGGUGGUUUAUUAAGUUGGAUGUGUAAUCCCACGGCUUAACCGUGGAACUGCGUUCAAAACUGAUAAACUAGAGAGCAGUAGGGGACAAGGGAACUUCGGGUGGAGCGGUGAAAUGCGUAGAUAUCCGAAGGAACACCGAUGGCGAAAGCACUUGUCUGGGCUGAUUCUGACACUGAGGAACGAAAGCUAGGGUAGCGAACGGGAUUAGAUACCCCGGUAGUCCUAGCCGUAAACGAUGGAUACUAGC